rnacentral:rRNA from 1 species
UACGUAGGUGACAAGCGUUGUUCGGAAUUACUGGGCGUAAAGCGCGCGUAGGCGGCUCUUCAAGUCAGGCGUGAAAGCCCCGGGCUUAACUCGGGAACUGCGUUUGAUACUGUCGAGCUAGAGUGUGGAAGGGGCGAUUGGAAUUCCGUGUGUAGCGGUGAAAUGCGUAGAUAUACGGAGGAACACCAGAGGCGAAGGCGGAUCGCUGGGCCAACACUGACGCUGAUGUGCGAAAGCUAGGGGAGCAAACGGG